rnacentral:rRNA from 1 species
CUUAAGCAUAUCAAUAAGCGGAGGAAAAGAAACUAACAAGGAUUCCCCUAGUAACUGCGAGUGAAGCGGGAAAAGCUCAAAUUUAAAAUCUGGCGGUCUUUGGCCGUCCGAGUUGUAGUCUGGAGAAGUGCUUUCCGCGCUGGACCGUGUAUAAGUCUCUUGGAACAGAGCGUCAUAGAGGGUGAGAAUCCCGUCUUUGACACGGACUACCAGUGCUUUGUGAUGCGCUCUCAAAGAGUCGAGUUGUUUGGGAAUGCAGCUCAAAAUGGGUGGUGAAUUCCAUCUAAAGCUAAAUAUUGGCGAGAGACCGAUAGCGAACAAGUACCGUGAGGGAAAGAUGAAAAGCACUUUGGAAAGAGAGUUAAACAGUACGUGAAAUUGCUGAAAGGGAAACGCUUGAAGUCAGUCGCGUUGUCCGGAACUCAGCCUUGCUUUUGCUUGGUGCACUUUCCGGAUGACGGGUCAGCAUCGAUUUUGACCGUCGGAAAAGGGCUGGAGUAAUGUGGCACCUCCGGGUGUGUUAUAGACUCUGGUCGCAUACGGCGGUUGGGAUCGAGGAACGCAGCGCGCCGCAAGGCAGGGGUUCGCCCACUUUCGCGCUUAGGAUGCUGGCAUAAUGGCUUUAAACGACCCCGCUUGAAACACGGACCAAGGAGUCUAACAUACCUGCGAGUGUUUGGGUGGAAAACCCGAGCGCGUAAUGAAAGUGAAAGUUGAGAUCCCUGUCGUGGGGAGCAUCGACGCCCGGACCAGACGUUCUCUGACGGAUCCGCGGUAGAGCAUGUAUGUUGGGACCCGAAAGAUGGUGAACUAUGCCUGAAUAGGGUGAAGCCAGAGGAAACUCUGGUGGAGGCUCGUAGCGAUUCUGACGUGCAAAUCGAUCGUCAAAUUUGGGUAUAGGG